rnacentral:rRNA from 1 species
CCUACGGGAGGCAGCAGUGAGGAAUAUUGGUCAAUGGACGAGAGUCUGAACCAGCCAAGUAGCGUGAAGGAUGACUGCCCUAUGGGUUGUAAACUUCUUUUAUAAGGGAAUAAAACGAGGCACGCGUGCCUUCUUGUAUGUACCUUAUGAAUAAGGAUCGGCUAACUCCGUGCCAGCAGCCGCGGUAAUACGGAGGAUCCGAGCGUUAUCCGGAUUUAUUGGGUUUAAAGGGAGCGUAGAUGGGUUGUUAAGUCAGUUGUGAAAGUUUGCGGCUCAACCGUAAAAUUGCAAUUGAUACUGGCAGUCUUGAGUACAGUUGAGGUAGGCGGAAUUCGUGGUGUAGCGGUGAAAUGCUUAGAUAUCACGAAGAACCCCGAUUGCGAAGGCAGCUUACUAAACUGUGACUGACAUUGAUGCUCGAAAGUGUGGGUAUCAAACAGGAUUAGAUACCCUAGUAGUC